rnacentral:rRNA from 1 species
UACCUUAGUAACGGCGAGUGAAGCGGUAACAGCUCAAAUUUGAAAUCUGGGUCUUUUAGGCUCCGAGUUGUAAUUUGUAGAAGAUGCUUUGGGUGCGGCCCCGGUCUAAGUUCCUUGGAACAGGACGUCAUAGAGGGUGAGAAUCCCGUAUGUGAUCGGUGGCUUGCGCCCGUGUAAAGCUCUUUCGACGAGUCGGGUUGUUUGGGAAUGCAGCUCUAAAUGGGUGGUAAAUUUCAUCUAAAGCUAAAUAUUGGCCAGAGACCGAUAGCGCACAAGUAGAGUGAUCGAAAGAUGAAAAGCACUUUGGAAAGAGAGUUAAACAGUACGUGAAAUUGUUGAAAGGGAAGCGCUUGCAACCAGACUUGCGCGGGGUUGAUCAUCCGGGGUUCUCCCCGGUGCACUCGGCCUCGCUCAGGCCAGCAUCGGUUUUGGUGGUUGGAUAAAGGCCUUGGGAAUGUGACUUCUUUCGGGGAGUGUUAUAGCCCUCGGUGCAAUGCAGCCUACCGGGACCGAGGACCGCGCUUCGGCUAGGAUGCUGGCGUAAUGGUUGUAAGCGACCCGUCUUGAAACACGGACCAAGGAGUCUAACAUCUAUGCGAGUGUUUGGGUGUCAAACCCAUACGCGUAAUGAAAGUGAACGGAGGUGAGAACCCUUAAGGGUGCAUCAUCGACCGAUCCUGAUGUCUUCGGAUGGAUUUGAGUAAGAGCAUAGCUGUUGGGACCCGAAAGAUGGUGAACUAUGCCUGAAUAGGGUGAAGCCAGAGGAAACUCUGGUGGAGGCUCGCAGCGGUUCUGACGUGCAAAUCGAUCGUCAAAUUUGGGCAUAGGGGCGAAAGACUAAUC